rnacentral:lncRNA from 1 species
AAUUGUACAAGCACCAGCAGUAGUAACAACACAUCUAGCGCUAGUAUUUACAAUCUGAUAAUUAGGAUUAGUACUAGUAAACAAAAUUUGGUUAGAUGUAUCUAUUCUAACCCUUCGGCAACUCAAGUCUCCAUUUGUAUCAGCUCUAAAAAUAUCCUUUACAGAUUCAGGAGGUUCUCAAAAUAGUUGCAUAGUAAUAGUAGUAUUCAUCCGUGCCAGUGCAUGAGCCAACUUAUUUUAUUCUCUGUACACAUGUUCCAGUAGCAGAUUACCUAGGUUAAGCAUCAGAUACCUGCAAUCAGACAUUAAGAAUGAAUCAUCCGAUGAUAGAUUAGAUAUAGUUUAAACAAUUGAAAGGCAAUUCACAUUAGUUUGUAGUGGUGUAAAACAGUGUUGAAUUGCAAUAUUCAGACCCAAAAGCAA